GACGAACGCUGGCGGCGUGCCUAAUACAUGCAAGUAGAACGCUGAAGAGAGGAGCUUGCUCUUCUUGGAUGAGUUGCGAACGGGUGAGUAACGCGUAGGUAACCUGCCUUGUAGCGGGGGAUAACUAUUGGAAACGAUAGCUAAUACCGCAUAACAAUGGAUGACACAUGUCAUUUAUUUGAAAGGGGCAAUUGCUCCACUACAAGAUGGACCUGCGUUGUAUUAGCUAGUAGGUGAGGUAAUGGCUCACCUAGGCGACGAUACAUAGCCGACCUGAGAGGGUGGUCGGCCACACUGGGACUGAGACACGGCCCAGACUCCUACGGGAGGCAGCAGUAGGGAAUCUUCGGCAAUGGUGGCAACCCUGACCGAGCAACGCCGCGUGAGUGAAGAAGGUUUUCGGAUCGUAAAGCUCUGUUGUAAGUCAAGAACGGGGGUGAGAGUGGAAAGUUCACACUGUGACGGUAGCUUACCAGAAAGGGACGGCUAACUACGUG
rnacentral:rRNA from 1 species